UUACAUACUCGCCUAAUGGUAAGGCAACUGUCUCAAAAACAGUCAACUACAGGUUCGACUCCUGUGUGUGAAA
rnacentral:tRNA from 2 species